AUUGAACGCUGGCGGCAGGCCUAACACAUGCAAGUCGAACGGUAACAGGAAGCAGCUUGCUGCUUCGCUGACGAGUGGCGGACGGGUGAGUAAUGUCUGGGAAGCUGCCUGAUGGAGGGGGAUAACUACUGGAAACGGUAGCUAAUACCGCAUAAUGUCGCAAGACCAAAGAGGGGGACCUUUGGGCCUCUUGCCAUCGGAUGUGCCCAGAUGGGAUUAGCUUGUUGGUGGGGUAACGGCUCACCAAGGCGACGAUCCCUAGCUGGUCUGAGAGGAUGACCAGCCACACUGGAACUGAGACACGGUCCAGACUCCUACGGGAGGCAGCAGUGGGGAAUAUUGCACAAUGGGCGCAAGCCUGAUGCAGCCAUGCCGCGUGUAUGAAGAAGGCCUUCGGGUUGUAAAGUACUUUCAGCGGGGAGGAAGGGAGUAAAGUUAAUACCUUUGCUCAUUGACGUUACUCGCAGAAGAAGCACCGGCUAACUCCGUG
rnacentral:rRNA from 1 species